rnacentral:lncRNA from 1 species
GACUACUAUUAUUAUUAUUAUUUGUAACGGAGUACACGGGGCCUUCUUUACCCAGAGAAGGUUUCCGAUCCGCGUGAGUUAAUUAUCGACUGAUUCCCCAGAGCGCUGUGCUCCGAAGUACUCGCGCCUCUAGCUGUAAGUUAGUGAGUAAGUCCCCAAGAGGGAAGCGCCGGCGCGGAGAGUGAGUGGGGAAGACGGAGCGAAGAAAGAAAAGCACCGACAAAGCUGAGAAGAGUCAUUGUGACCGAGUCGCCAAACCGUACGGACACGCAUAUUUAGUAAAAACAUCAUCGAGCAGAUUCAUAAAAUAUUCGGAGAAACGAGUGACGGUGACCGAGGUCUCGCUGCCAAGCAGAAUUUUCCACCGAGGAGGGAUUUGUACCAGUGACGACGACAAGGAGUUGUAGCUCUUCGAGGGAGUUCAUUAACGUC